GGGAGCGAACCUGGCGAAUUGAAACCUCUUAGUAGCCAGAGGAAAAGAAAAUAAUGAUUAACUUUUUAGAUUAUCUAGCGCUUAAGUUACCCGGGUUUGUGCAAACAAGUCCGGUGGCUUAAGUUGCUAGCUCUUCUUAAACAAGUUAAUUGCAUUCCCUGAGUAGUGGCGAGCGAAACGGGAACAGUCCAAACUAUAUUUGUGUAAGCCCAUAAGGCGUUGCAAGUAUGGAGUAAUGGGUUAGUGUUACCGCACUUUUAUGGCGUGCGAGUCGUUGAACUGUAUAUUUGUCUAGUGGAAGACGGCUGGAAUGCCUCACCACAGAGGGUAAGAGUCCCGUACACAAAAGAUAUAUACAACCGACCAAUACUGACCAAAGUAGGGCAGGACAUGUGCAAUCCUGUCUGAAAUCGGGAGACCUACUAAAACGCACUGAUGUUUACUUUACUGUAGACAUGAGUGCGCUCCCAAGACUAAAUACGCCCAUUGACCGAUAGUGAACUAGUACCGUGAGGGAAAGGUGAAAAGAACCCCGUUAAGGGGAAUGAAAUAGACCUGAAACCGUAUACUUACAUAGAAUCGGAGCCGUAAUUUAUUACGGUGACGGUGUGCUUUUUGCAGAACGAACCACCGAGUUUGCUGUAUGUCGUUGUAGCUUAAGCAACGCACACGUUGCGAAGGCAGAGCGAAAGCGAGUGUUAAAAGCGCGAAUUUCUAUUACUUAUGUUCGGGGCAACUCGGACAUAAGCAUUAGACAAUGGCAUGCACAAGACCCGAAAGCAGGUGAUCUAUCCAUGAGCAGGGUGAAGCGUCUGUAACAGGACGUGGAGGCCCGAACCCGUUAGCCGUUCAAUACUAUGGGAUGACUUGUGGAUAGGGGUGAAAUUCCAAUCGAACCUGCUAAUAGCUGGUUCUCUCCGAAAUAGCUUGCGGGCUAGCCUCGUGACGUAGCAGAGAGUGGUAGAGCACUGCAAGGGCUCUUCUGGGUUUACCCAGGGACCCUAGCAAACUCCGAAUGCUUUCUGUGGAAUCACGGGAGUCAGAACGUGGGGGCUAAGCUCCACGCUCAAAAGGGAAACAGCCCAGAUCGUCGUUUAAGGUCCCAAAAUCGUAUCUUAGUGGUAAAGGUGGUGAGGUUGCAUAGACAGCGAGGCAGUUGGCUUAGAAGCAGCCACCUGUUAAAGAAAGCGUAACAGCUCACUCGUCAAGCGACCUUGCGCCGAAAAUGUAACGGGGCUGAAGAUACGUACCGAAAACACGGACUUCUCACAUUUAUGUGAGAUUUGGUAGGAGAGCAUUUCGUACCGCGUUGAAGGGAAACCGUGAGGAAUCCUGGAGCGUACGGAAGAGAGUAUGGUGGUAUGAGUAACAAGACACAGAGUGAGAACCUCUGUCACCGAAAACCCGAGGUUUCCUGGGCAACGUCGAUCGUCCCAGGGUUAGCCGGCCCUAAGCCGAGGCGGAAACGCGUAGGCGAUGGAUAACAGGUUGAUAUUCCUGUGCCGGUAUAUAUGUGUAUCAGGCGUAACGGAGGAGCAGACUAUGCCAGGGUAUAUGACUAUUCCCUGCGCUGUGCACUAGUGGGAGUUUCUAGGUAAAUCCGGAGACUUUCCGCCAAUUGGCGGACAACCACGAAGCAUGGCGGGAGAGUGCGGCCGCGAGGCCAAGCCUCUGCAUACGCAGCUACUUCCUGGAAAAGCGUCGGAUACUAGCCAUGUAUGCCGUCCGUACCGCAAACCAACUCAGGUGGGUAGGUGUAAGUGUACCAAGGUGAUCGGGAGAACCCUCGUUAAGGAACUCGGCAAAAAAGCGUCCGUAAGCUCGCAAUAAGGGCUUCCUCCGGCCUCGCAAGAGGUCAAGGAGGACGCAGCGCAUGUAUCUCUGGCGACUGUUUAACAAAAACACAGGUUCCUGCUAACUCGUAAGAGGAUGUAUAGGAGCUGACGCCUGGCCAGUGUCGGAACGUUAAUCUUCCCGGUGAAAGCUGGGAAGCUAAGCGCCGAUGAACGCCGGCCGUAACUAUAACGGUCCUAUGGUAGCGAAAUUCCUUGGCACGUAAGUUGUGUCCCGCACGAAUGGCGUCACGACUGGAGAACUGUCUCAACGAGGGACCCGGUGAAAUUGCAAUGUCGGUGAAGAUGCCGCCACCCUGCGGCAAGACAGAAAGACCCCGUGAAGCUUCACUACAGCUUGGUAUUGGGGCGUCGAGCUUGUUGCUCAGUAUAGGUGGGAGCCUUUGAACUAGUCGCUUCGGCGGCUAGGGAGGCGACCGUGAGAUACCACCCUACAUGUUUGACGCGUCUAACGACGUGGUGUGAAUCCACCACCCGGACAGUGCCUGGCGGGUAGUUUAUCUGGGGCGGAUGACUCCCAAAUUGUAACGGAGUCGCCUAAAGGUCGGCUAGGCCCGGAUGGAAAUCGGGCCAAUAGCGUAAAAGCAGAAGCCGGCUUAACUGCAAGACGUACAUGUCGCGCAGAUACGAAAGUAGAGUUUAGUGAACCGACCGUUCUCAUGUAGAAGAGCGGAAGAUCAUCGGAUAAAAGUUACUCCGGGGAUAACAGGCUUAUCUCCCCCAAUAGUCCACAUAGACGGGGAGGUUUGGCACCUUAAUAUAUCGGGGUGCCGGGCGAGUGAUCGCUUAUUGCUGUUAGGUCUAUUCUGUCAACAAUCAAUUAAACCAACUCAAAACGGCGAACGCCAGGUAUACGAGCCUGGUCAACGCCGUGGGAGCACGCUUAUUUAGCGUGUCCCGUAACGACUGACCCGAAAGGGGAGACCGUACGAACAGUACGGUAAUACGGUUGGCCCUCAUAAGUGAAAAGCAGCCAUGGCAAUCAGCCUUCGGCAUGAGCUUUGUGAGGUGAAGGCAUAGUCUAAACUACUAAGUAAUUAGUAGAUAAAAUCCGGCAGCGAUGUCGGCUCGUCCUAUCCUGGGGCUGAAGAAG
rnacentral:rRNA from 1 species